GUGAUAUACAUCAGCUGCUUCAGAGUGACCCUGGGGAGGAUGAGUCUUGAUUUCUGAUCUUCUCAAUUUUCAAGUGGUCCAGGGAAAUGAGUUGCCAGAAACUAUUACCCCAGCAGCCAGCCAGCCUUCGAAAUUGAUUUCAGCUUGUACAAAUAGGUAUGGGGCUCUGCGUGCACCAUGUUUUAGGCAAGCACCGAUAUGAUUUUUGGGUUUAUUGUGAAUUAGUUGGUAUUUAUGAUAUAAAUUCUCAACACACCAAUAUUUUGAGUUUU
rnacentral:misc_RNA from 1 species